ensembl:snRNA U6 U6 spliceosomal RNA
GUGCUUGCUUCAGCAGUACAUACACUAAAAUUGGAACCAUACAGAGAAGAUUGGAUGCAUUCAAAUUCUCGAGGUGUUCCAUAUUUUU